rnacentral:rRNA from 1 species
AUUGAACGCUGGCGGCAGGCCUAACACAUGCAAGUCGAGCGGAUGAAGGGAGCUUGCUCCUGGAUUCAGCGGCGGACGGGUGAGUAAUGCCUAGGAAUCUGCCUGGUAGUGGGGGAUAACGUCCGGAAACGGGCGCUAAUACCGCAUACGUCCUGAGGGAGAAAGUGGGGGAUCUUCGGACCUCACGCUAUCAGAUGAGCCUAGGUCGGAUUAGCUAGUUGGUGGGGUAAAGGCCUACCAAGGCGACGAUCCGUAACUGGUCUGAGAGGAUGAUCAGUCACACUGGAACUGAGACACGGUCCCGACUCCUACGGGAGGCAGCAGUGGGGAAUAUUGGACAAUGGGCGAAAGCCUGAUCCAGCCAUGCCGCGUGUGUGAAGAAGGUCUUCGGAUUAUAAAGCACUUUAAGUUGGGAGGAAGGGCAGUAAGUUAAUACCUUGCUGUUUUGACGUUACCAACAGAAUAAGCACCGGCUAACUUCGUG